rnacentral:rRNA from 1 species
AACGAACGCUGGCGGCAUGCCUAACACAUGCAAGUCGAACGGGAUCCUGGUUUCGGCCAGGUGAGAGUGGCGGACGGGUGAGUAACGCGUGGGAACCUGCCCAGUGGUGGGGGAUAACUGCGGGAAACUGCAGCUAAUACCGCAUGAGCCCGCAAGGGGAAAGAUUGAUCNCCAUUGGAGGGGCCCGCGCUCGAUUAGGUAGUUGGUGAGGUAACGGCUCACCAAGCCUACGAUCGAUAGCUGGUCUGAGAGGAUGAUCAGCCACACUGGGACUGAGAUACGGCCCAGACUCCUACGGGAGGCAGCAGUGGGGAAUAUUGGACAAUGGGGGCGAACCCUGAUCCAGCAAUGCCGCGUGAGUGAUGAAGGCCUUCGGUGUAAGC